CUCCUCCUCCCCGCGUCUCUCUCCCUUUUCUCUGCAACUCCGGCCACCUCACGAUUCCGGCCACCUGGGGACGAACGAGUGGCACCGUUGGACUCCUCUACUCCUACCCAACCUCCCCACGGCGGUAACUCACGGCGGCUUGGCCAGAAAACGAUGCAUCGGGUCCUUGAAGUUUACUGUAGCAGUUUGGGGUUUCGUCGAUUUCUGGCGAUUCCGGCCAUCUCCAGCCACCAAACCGGCGUCGAAGGUUCGGUUUUUGCCAAGGAUCAUUAUGCCCCUAGCCUUGAGCCACGACUUGAAGCAUGGAGGAAGAAUCGAAGGGCAAUGUUGCGAGCUACGGCUAGAUGAAGGGACUCGUUUGCGUGGUCGCCAACUAGUACUUUUGCAGGCGCUAUUAGUUGAGGUCGGGCGUACAUGGAUCGAGGCAUAGUUGACGAAUAGCUUCCGCACUUCUUUGUUUGGCUCUGAUCUAUUGUGGGUUACUAUUUUGGGUAGUCCACUUUAGGGGUGACUCGACCAGUUCUCGGUAGAGUUAUCUCUAAGGUGGGCCCCACAGGGCCACCUCGGAUUUCAGGGUGAAAUUCGGGGUGGGUCCUGUCACAUAAGCUUCACCUUGUGAAUAUGCAUUGGGUACAAAUGUCUCUUGAUACAUGCCCAUCUUGUACUCACACUCUUGCAUAAAAUCCGGGCACUCAAAUCUCAAAGAGCACUCAAAAGGUGAAUGCCACGGAGAAUUACACAAAGCACAAGUUUCAUUGCAAGAAGACAUAGAACCCACCGCAUGAGAAUUCCACUCUUGAUGACCUCCACCAAAGAAACUUUCUUGCUCAUAUCCUCUCGGAUCUUCCCAUCCAUAGCUCCAUUGAUCCAUAACUCAAUAAGAUAAGAAAUAAGCACCUAUGAGUUCCCAAA